rnacentral:rRNA from 1 species
UACGAAGGGGGCUAGCGUUGUUCGGAAUUACUGGGCGUAAAGCGCACGUAGGCGGACUAUUAAGUCAGGGGUGAAAUCCCGGGGCUCAACCCCGGAACUGCCUUUGAUACUGGUAGUCUCGAGUCCGGAAGAGGUGAGUGGAAUUCCGAGUGUAGAGGUGAAAUUCGUAGAUAUUCGGAGGAACACCAGUGGCGAAGGCGGCUCACUGGUCCGGUACUGACGCUGAGGUGCGAAAAGCGUGGGGAGCAAACAGGG